rnacentral:rRNA from 1 species
GAUGAACGCUGGCGGCGUGCCUAAUACAUGCAAGUCGAGCGAACAGACGAGGAGCUUGCUCCUCUGACGUUAGCGGCGGACGGGUGAGUAACACGUGGAUAACCUACCUAUAAGACUGGGAUAACUUCGGGAAACCGGAGCUAAUACCGGAUAAUAUAUUGAACCGCAUGGUUCAAUAGUGAAAGACGGUUUUGCUGUCACUUAUAGAUGGAUCCGCGCCGCAUUAGCUAGUUGGUAAGGUAACGGCUUACCAAGGCAACGAUGCGUAGCCGACCUGAGAGGGUGAUCGGCCACACUGGAACUGAGACACGGUCCAGACUCCUACGGGAGGCAGCAGUAGGGAAUCUUCCGCAAAGGGCGAAAGCCUGACGGAGCAACGCCGCGUGAGUGAUUAAGGUCUUCGGAUCGUAAAACUCUGUUAUUAGGGAAGAACAAAUGUGUAAGUAACUAUGCACGUCUUGACGGUACCUAAUCAGAAAGCCACGGCUAACUACGUG